AGCAAACAGGAUUAGAUACCCUGGUAGUCACGCUGUAAACGAUGUCGAUUUGGAGUUUGUUGCCUAGAGUGAUGGGCUCCGAAGCUAACGCGAUAAAUCGACCGCCUGGGGAGUACGGCCGCAAGGUUAAAACUCAAAUGAAUUGACGGGGGCCCGCACAAGCGGUGGAGCAUGUGGUUUAAUUCGAUGCAACGCGAAGAACCUUACCUGGUCUUGACAUCCAUAGAAUUCUGCAGAGAUGUGGGAGUGCCUUCGGGAACUAUGAGACAGGUGCUGCAUGGCUGUCGUCAGCUCGUGUUGUGAAAUGUUGGGUUAAGUCCCGCAACGGGCGCAACCCUUAUUCUUUGUUGCCAGCGAUUUGGUCGGGAACUCAAAGGAGACUGCCGUUGAUAAAGCGGAGGAAGGUGGGGACGACGUCAAGUCAUCAUGGCCCUUACGACCAGGGCUACACACGUGCUACAAUGGCGUAUACAAAGGGAAGCGAAGGUGCGAGCUGGAGCGGAUCUCAUAAAGUACGUCUAAGUUCGGAUUGGAGUCUGCAACUCGACUCCAUGAAGUCGGAAUCGCUAGUAAUCGUAGAUCAGAAUGCUACGGUGAAUACGUUCCCGGGCCUUGUACACACCGCCCGUCACACCAUGGGGGUGGGUUGCACCAGAAGUAGAUAGCUUAACCGCGAGGGGGGCGUUUACCACGGUGUGAUUCAUGACUGGGGUGAAGUCGUAACAAGGUAACCA
rnacentral:rRNA from 1 species